GAAAAAAAAAAAAAAAAGCAAGGAAAUGGGUGGGAAUCUUUCUUCGUCUUUCACUGUGUAGUUGAUCCCACAUCGCCACCUCUCCUUUCCCUGAUACUGAGACAAAGUUAGAUUUUCUGUGCUUCUGGCAUUAGCCUAUGAGCAUUUCUACCUAUGGGAUUGUCAUGUGGGGAGCAUGAUUUCGAUAAGAGAGAAAGUGAAGUCCCACUGAUAGAUGAGACUAGACAGAGCAGACAAAGGUGUAGUGACAUGGAUUUACACCAUCAUCAUCAUCAUCAUCAU
rnacentral:misc_RNA from 1 species